rnacentral:rRNA from 1 species
GACGAACGCUGGCGGCGGGCUUAACACAUGCAAGUCGAACGGAAAGGCCCUGCUUUUGUGGGGUGCUCGAGUGGCGAACGGGUGAGUAACACGUGAGUAACCUGCCCUUGACUUUGGGAUAACUUCAGGAAACUGGGGCUAAUACCGGAUAGGAGCUCCUGCUGCAUGGUGGGGGUUGGAAAGUUUCGGCGGUUGGGGAUGGACUCGCGGCUUAUCAGCUUGUUGGUGGGGUAGUGGCUUACCAAGGCUUUGACGGGUAGCCGGCCUGAGAGGGUGACCGGCCACAUUGGGCCUGCGAUACGGCCCAGACUCCUACGGGAGGCAGCAGUGGGGAAUAUUGCACAAUGGGCGGAAGCCUGAUGCAGCAACGCCGCGUGCGGGAUGACGGCCUUCGGGUUGUAAACCGCUUUCGCCUGUGACGAAGCGUGAGUGACGGUAAUGGGUAAAGAAGCACCGGCUAACUACGUG